rnacentral:ncRNA from 2 species
AGCUUAUCCAGAAAGACCGAGGGACUGGGCCCUGUGACGUCUUAGCAACCAGCCACUGCGGCAGAGGUGCUAACUCCCAUCCGAGGCGCAGCCGCGCGUUCGGAAAAGAUGAGCG